rnacentral:rRNA from 1 species
UACGUAGGGACCAAGCGUUGUUCGGAUUUACUGGGCGUAAAGGGCGCGUAGGCGGCGUGACAAGUCACUUGUGAAAUCUCCGGGCUUAACUCGGAACGGCCAAGUGAUACUGUCGUGCUAGAGUGCAGAAGGGGCAAUCGGAAUUCUUGGUGUAGCGGUGAAAUGCGUAGAUAUCGAGAGGAACACCUGCGGCGAAGGCGGGUUGCUGGGCUGACACUGACGCUGAUGCGCGAAAGCCAGGGGAGCGAACGGG